rnacentral:lncRNA from 1 species
GGUGGGAUUUACCUUCACGUCGGCGCCGAAUAAGUCCUUGUUCGCUUCGUCGUGAUCGGAGCUCGAGUGAGGACGGUGGGGGCGAGGACUGAUGGAGCCUCUGAGCGGCGCGAAAGCUAGGGUUAAAACCCUAGCAGGGAGUUGAAGAUUUUUUAUUUUAUUUUUUUAUUUUAUUCUGGUUGAUACAAAUGAUUUUUUUAAGCAGAAACUUGGUUUAAAUAAUAACGCAAUACGACGCCGUUUUGAGGCAGGGGCACCAGUGCCAAAACAGCGCCGUUUGGUCCCUUGACUAAUAUAAGUAAAAGUAUUAUAGAAGACUUUAUA